rnacentral:lncRNA from 1 species
AUGCUAGUAGCCCCGACCCGAAUGAUGCUGCUCGUCAGCCAUCAGCUCAUCGCGCGGCACGAACGGGGAGUGAGUGGACACACAGCUACUGCGCUGAGCGCGACGGCUCCAUCGGGGGCACGAUGGACGCGGCGUGCAUGCGCGCUAGCUAAUAAUCGAUGUCGAUCGGUCUGCUCGACCUUGGAGAUCGGUGGUGGCGGUCGUAGACGGGCUCCUGUCGUCGAUCGAGGACGUGAUGCGCCCAGG